rnacentral:rRNA from 1 species
UACGGGGGGGGCAAGCGUUGUUCGGAAUUACUGGGCGUAAAGGGCUCGUAGGCGGCCAACUAAGUCAGACGUGAAAUCCCUCGGCUUAACCGGGGAACUGCGUCUGAUACUGGAUGGCUUGAGAUUGGGAGAGGGAUGCGGAAUUCCAGGUGUGGCGGUGAAAUGCGUAGAUAUCUGGAGGAACACCGAUGGCGAAGGCAGGUCUCUGGGCUGACACUGACGCUCAUGCACGAAAGCGUGGGGAGCAAACAGG